AGUGAACGCUGGCGGUAGGCCUAACACAUGCAAGUCGAACGGCAGCACAGUAAGAGCUUGCUCUUACGGGUGGCGAGUGGCGGACGGGUGAGGAAUACAUCGGAAUCUACUUUUUCGUGGGGGAUAACGCAGGGAAACUUACGCUAAUACCGCAUACGACCUACGGGUGAAAGCAGGGGAUCUUCGGACCUCGCGCGAUUGAAUGAGCCGAUGUCGGAUUAGCUAGUUGGCGGGGUAAAGGCCCACCAAGGCGACGAUCCGUAGCUGGUCUGAGAGGAUGAUCAGCCACACUGGAACUGAGACACGGUCCAGACUCCUACGGGAGGCAGCAGUGGGGAAUAUUGGACAAUGGGCGCAAGCCUGAUCCAGCCAUACCGCGUGUGUGAAGAAGGCCUUCGGGUUGUAAAGCCCUUUUGUUGGGAAAGAAGAGCAGCAGGUUAAUACCCCGCUGUUCUGACGGUACCCAAAGAAUAAGCACCGGCUAACUUCGUG
rnacentral:rRNA from 1 species